GUGAACGCUGGCGGCAUGGUUAAGACAUGCAAGUCGAACGAGAAGCAAAACUUCGGUUUUGUGGACAGUGGCGAACGGGUGCGUAACACGUGAGCAACCUGCCCCUAAGUACGGAAUAGCCUACCGAAAGGUGGAUUAAUACCGCAUGUGUCCCUUCUUCGCAUGGAGAAGCGGAUAAAGCUUGUAAUGGCGCUUAGGGAUAGGCUCGCGGCCUAUCAGCUUGUUGGUGAGGUAAUGGCUCACCAAGGCUAAGACGGGUAGCUGGUCUGAGAGGAUGAUCAGCCACACCGGGACUGAGACACGGCCCGGACACCUACGGGUGGCAGCAGUUUCGAAUAAUUCACAAUGGGCGAAAGCCUGAUGGUGCAACGCCGCGUGGAGGAUGACGGUCUUCGGAUUGUAAACUCCUGUCAUCAGGGAGUAAGACCUGGGUGUUAAUAGCACACAGGGUUGAUAGUACCUGAAGAGGAAGGGACGGCUAACUUCGUGCCAGCAGCCGCGGUAAUACGAAGGUCCCAAGCGUUGUUCGGAUUCACUGGGCGUAAAGGGAGCGUAGGCUGUGCGGUAAGUCAGAUGUGAAAUCCCGGGGCUCAACCCCGGAACUGCAUCCGAUACUGCCGUACUAGAGUAUUGGAGAGGUAACAGGAAUUCACGGUGUAGCAGUGAAAUGCGUAGAUAUCGUGAGGAAGACCAAUGGCGAAAGCAUGUUACUGGACAAUCACUGACGCUGAGGCUCGAAGGCCAGGGUAGCGAAAGGGAUUAGAUACCCCUGUAGUCCUGGCAGUAAACGGUGCGCGCUUGGUGUGAGGGGAUUCGACCCCCCUUGUGCCGGAGCUAACGCGUUAAGCGCGCCGCCUGGGAAGUACGGUCGCGAGACUAAAACUCAAAGAAAUUGACGGGGACCCGCACAAGCGGUGGAGUAUGUGGCUUAAUUCGAUGCAACGCGAAGAACCUUACCAAGGCUUGACAUGCAUCUCUAAUCUCGUGAAAGCGAGUGACCCUUCGGGGAAUUUGCACAGGUGCUGCAUGGCCGUCGUCAGCUCGUGUCGUGAGAUGUUGGGUUAAGUCCCGCAACGAGCGCAACCCCUGUGAUCAGUUGCCAGCACGUAAUGGUGGGAACUCUGGUCAGACUGCCCAGAUCAACUGGGAGGAAGGUGGGGGCGACGUCAGGUCAGUAUGGCCCUUACGCCUUGGGCUGCACACGUACUACAAUGCCCAGUACAAUGAGUACCGAGACCGCGAGGUGGAGGAAAUCUACAAAACUGGGCCCAGUUCGGAUAGGAGGCUGCAACUCGCCUCCUUGAAGUCGGAAUCGCUAGUAAUGGCGCAUCAGCUACGGCGCCGUGAAUACGUUCCCGGGUCUUGCACUCACCGCCC
rnacentral:rRNA from 1 species